UACGUAGGUGACCAGCGUUGUCCGGAUUUAUUGGGCGUAAAGCGCUCGCAGGUGGUUCGUCGCGUCGUGCGUGAAAGACCCCGGCUCAACUGGGGAGUGUCGUGCGAUACGGGCGGACUGGAGGCCAGUAGGGGGAUGCGGAAUUCCGGGUGUAGUGGUGGAAUGCGUAGAGAUCCGGAGGAACACCAGCGGCGAAGGCGGCAUCCUGGACUGGUCCUGACACUCAUGAGCGAAAGCGUGGGGAGCGAGUCCGG
rnacentral:rRNA from 1 species